rnacentral:rRNA from 1 species
GCCUGGCUGAGGGUCG